rnacentral:rRNA from 1 species
GAUGAACGCUGGCGACGUGCCUAAUACAUGCAAGUCGAGCGAACGGACGAGAAGCUUGCUUCUCUGAUGUUAGCGGCGGACGGGUGAGUAACACGUGGAUAACCUACCUAUAAGACUGGGAUAACUUCGGGAAACCGGAGCUAAUACCGGAUGAUAUUUUGAACCGCAUGGUUCAAAAGUGAAAGACGGUCUUGCUGUCACUUAUAGAUGGAUCCGCGCUGCAUUAGCUAGUUGGUAAGGUAACGGCUUACCAAGGCAACGAUGCAUAGCCGACCUGAGAGGGUGAUCGGCCACACUGGAACUGAGACACGGUCCAGACUCCUACGGGAGGCAGCAGUAGGGAAUCUUCCGCAAAGGGCGAAAGCCUGACGGAGCAACGCCGCGUGAGUGAUGAAGGUCUUCGGAUCGUAAAACUCUGUUAUUAGGGAAGAACAUAUGUGUAAGUAACUGUGCACAUCUUGACGGUACCUAAUCAGAAAGCCACGGCUAACUACGUG